GAGCUUCGGGAUUCCGCCUACCCGGUAGCGGCUGUUUAGACCCAGACCGGCCCCUGCGCGAUAUGAGCACCGCUCAGGACUGCAGCUGUUGGGCACCAGCAGCCAGGCCACCACCUCCUUCAUGCUCCUCUGUGAUCACCUCUCCAAGUCCCGGUGUCAGGAGCCUUCUCUGUGGCCGCCCUGGAGAGACUUGAGCCUGGGACGUGACGUGCUGGGCUGUGAAGCUUUCUGAGAAGGGAAACCUGUGGCCUGACCUGCCUGAAUGCUGCACCCAACCUCAUCUCUUCCUGGGAGAAACCAACAACUGUCAGCAUUGACACCAUCAGGCCUUUCUCUUCUAAUUUAACCUUGCAGCCAACCACACGGCUAUCUGUGCGGGAUCUCUCCCCAAGCUCAAGGACAUGAGAUGCGGAUCAGGCCCAAGAGGCUGGAUGCCAAACCUAUCCUCUCCAUGUGAAGCACCAACUUGGGGGUGUCAACUAAAAAUAUGAGACCCGUAAACUUGGAAAGGAAGACUUUAUUUCUUGAGAAGGGUUGCAAACUGCAGGCUGGGAAGUGGCACCUCCAGCUGAGACCACAAACAGUGGACUUUCUCAAACUGGGGUAUUGACCUCUGAUGAACCGCCAUGCAAACCCGUGCCUUUCAACAUAAAAAGAAGCCCUUCGAGGUGCUCACCUUCAAGCUUGCUAGAGGAGGAGGAAGAGCAGUCUUCAAGAGGCCUGGCCAGGUGGAAUGCCCCCCAGUCUGAGUUUGUCUGGUGCUUCCUUACCAUGAGACUGGGGUCUUGGAGUUUUGAGGUUUUGGAAAGACACCUCAGAAGUUAAGUAUCUUUCUUGUCACAUUGCAUUAGGGGGGUACAUGGUAUCAAUAUCUCUUUUCUCUGGUGAUGUAAAACUUGAUCAUUUGAAUAAUGUA
rnacentral:lncRNA from 1 species